rnacentral:rRNA from 1 species
UACGGAGGAUCCGAGCGUUAUCCGGAUUUACUGGGUUUAAAGGGUGCGUAGGCGGGCGCGUAAGUCAGCGGUGAAAUGCGGGGGCUCAACCUUCGAGCUGCCGUUGAUACUGGGCGCCUAGGAUUCGGUCGAGGCGGGCGGAAUGCGCGGUGUAGCGGUGAAAUGCUUAGAUAUCGCGCAGAACGCCGAUUGCGAAGGCAGCUCGCCGGGCCGAGAUUGACGCUGAGGCACGAAAGCGUGGGGAU